CACUGUGUGUGUGUGUGUGUGCCUUUCUGUGACAAAUAGGCUACACAAACUGUCUUUACCAUGUCGCAGUCAAAACUGUACCAACACAAAUAUAGAAAAGAGUGGGAAGCAAGCUUUUAAGGGCUGGUUAAAGCCGUUUAUUGGAGACGACACACAAGCAUACUGUCACUAUUGCAAGGUAGAUUUCUGUGCCAUAAACUAUGUUUUGCAAACUGUGUCAUGUACAGGGCCUUAUAUCAAGUCUUUUAAGUCUCCCUUGGAUGGUGAUGAAAUUAGGGCUAAUAAUGUUUUAUAAUGGCUAUGCUAUGGAGAAAAUGAAUGGGAUUUUUACUUCCAGUUAUGCAAAUUAUGCGAAGACGUCAUCUAGCGUCUUCUAGCGACUUUUAGGAGAGCCAAUUGAGCUCCUGCGUCACGUGACUUUUGGUUGUCGGACGCCAUUUUGGCAGUAAACAUGACGACCAGCGCCAGCAGCCUUCAAGAGUUCCUACCGAGCGAGUAUACGUGCCAUUUUAGUUUAGAUGAAAUUCGUUUUUAUACUGGAAAAUUACAUCGCUUAAAUAUAAGUGACCCAUAUAACGCUCCUGGGGUGCUUUUUUUUCUUGCAUCCAAAGACUUCGGUAUCAUCACUGCAAGGGUUAAUCACUCCCAACGGCUGAAUGACAGUCAACUGAAGCCAUGGGUGGUGGUGAGGAACGACGGUGUAGUGAUGGGAGCCCACUGUAACUGCACAGCAGGACUUGGGGAGAGUUGUUCUCAUGUGUCAGCUGUGCUCUUCAGACUGUGGGAAAAAAACAAUGCAAGGCAUGAGGAGAUCAGCUGCACGUCCAAAAAAUGCAAGUGGACCUCUCCCAGUGAGGAUGCUGGGAAGAAUGUGGAGUACCAACAGGGAAAGGACAUCAUAUUCAACAGUAGUCAACAAAAUAAAAAGGGGAAUUCCACCAAGGGUACAUCUGCGCCCCCAUCUUUCCCACCCCUGACUGCUGCUGAGCAAGCGCAGUUCUACCAAAACCUCUCUCAGUGCCGGACUCAAGAUGGGAAGUCCUGCAGACCUGCUGUUCUGUCAGUUGUUCCCGGGUAUGCCACAACCUAUGUACCAAAGGCUGUCAAGCUUGAUUUACCUGAACCCCUUACCAGUUUGUACGACAAGAAGGCAAGAGACCUGAGCCUGGCUGAAUUACAAGAGCGUGCAGAAGGAAUAUUUGAUGACUUGACUGUCACUGAACAACAGUUGGGGAUGCAAGAAUGAAGAACUAGCCAGAAAAUACUACGAAAUGCAACAUCGUCUAUCACACAGAGAUGUCCUGAUUAGACCAGCCGGAUUUAAAAUAUCAACUCUCCACCCAUUUAUUGGGGCCUCACCGGAUGGGUAUGUUUCCUGCAGCUGCUGUGGUACAGGGGUUAUAGAAAUUAAGUGUCCAUUUUCAGCAAAGGACCUUUCUAUCAGUGAAGCUGUACAGUCUGUUGGACACUUUUGCCUGGAACAAGAUUCCCAAGGAAAAAUUAAAGUUAAGCGAGACCAGUUAAGCAUACUUCCACCAAGUCCAGAUGCAGCUAUUUGUUACGAAAUGUGAUUACUGUGAUUUUAUUCUGUGGACAGAAAAAGAUGAUUCACUCUUUGUGGAACGCAUUACAUUCGACUCAGAAUUCUUCCAAAAAGAACUUGAACUUGCUCGUACCUUCUUUAUAAAAUGUAUAAUCCCAGAGUUGUUAGGCAAAUGGUUUUCUGCACCAAAACAAGCAACUGCAAACACCAAUCCCCAGCAACAGUGGUGCUACUGCCGCGCACCUGCGGCAGGGAACAUGCUUGUUUGUGCCUCAGGGUUCUGUGCCGUGGAGAAGUUCCACCAAACCUGCCUUCGGAUGAAAAGGGUACCGAAACAGUGGGUGUGUCCAAGCUGUAGGAAACUAAUCAAUGCCCAAAAAAAAACCUUAAUUAUUUAGUCUUACUUAAUUACACAAUGUGUGAAUAUGAACUAGCUGAUGCAAUGUAAAUAUUUAAUUGGUUAAUAAAAACUGUUAAGCCAAUGUUGUUCUCUUCUGUGUCUGACUGUCUGUAGUAGUAUCUGUAGCGAUCAUAAAACA